rnacentral:rRNA from 1 species
AUUGAACGCUGGCGGCAGGCCUAACACAUGCAAGUCGAGCGAGCGGCGUACGGGUGAGUAAUGUCUGGGGACUGCCCGAUAGCGGGGGAUAACUACUGGACACGGUAGCUAAUACCGCAUACUAUCGGAUAACCCAUAUGGGAUUAGCUAGUAGGUGAGGUAAUGGCUCACCUAGGCGACGAUCCCUAGCUGGUCUGAGAGGAUGAUCAGCCACAGUGGGAAUGAGACACGGCCACGACUCCUACGGAGGAAGCAGUGGGGAAUAGUGCACAAUGGGCGCAAGCCUGAUGCAGUGAUGACGAGUGUAGGAAGGAUGCCCCAGGGCUGUAAACAACUUUCAGUCGGGCAGCGUUACCGACAGAAGAAGCACCGGCUAACUCCGUGCCAGCAGCCGCGGUAAUUC